AGGUUCUCAUAAGUUGGAUGGCCAAUGGAUUUCAUGAACAAGGCUACCCCUACUUCUGCUUUUAGCUUUCCCUUCAUCGGAGCAACUACCAUCACUGGCAAUAUUCAGAUACCAAAGGCCAGAUCACCGACGGUUCUGCCACCACAAGGGGCCACCACUCGUCAAGGGUCGCCUAUGGGAAAUGGUCGGCCUCAAACAUUCUUUCCUCUAUUUCAACGGAGAAGAAGAGAAGAAAACC
rnacentral:lncRNA from 1 species